GGAUGUGAGGGCGAUCUGGCUGCAACAUCUGUUACCACAUUACUUGCCAGCGUUGAUUCAGCUGAAACUGGCUGGCUGGGUGGGGUCCCCCACCUCCUUCAUUGGUCCACGUAUAUCCCUCCUCUAGCUGUGCACGCAGUGGAAGAGAAUGACCUUGCCCAACAGAGGAAGGAUGGUCUUCAAUCAAAGGUGUCUUUUCUGAUCUCCCCCAAUGGAAGCUUCAAACACACUGUCAAAGCAAUCGGGAGGGAGGCAGGCAGCCACCUCACAUGCUGCUGUUAUCACAUCUAUGAUACUGGCUUGGG
rnacentral:snRNA from 1 species